rnacentral:tRNA from 1 species
UCCCCGGUAGCUCAGUGGUAGAGCGAUUCGCUGUUAACGAAUGGGUCGUAGGUUCGAAUCCUACCCGGGGAG